AUUGAACGCUGGCGGCAGGCUUAACACAUGCAAGUCGAGCGGAGACUUCGGUCUUAGCGGCGAACGGGUGAGUAAUACCUAGGAAUCUGCCUAUUAGUGGGGAUAACGAAUCGAAAGGUUCGCUAAUACCGCAUACGUCCUACGGGAGAAAGGGGGGAGUCUUCGGACCUCUCGCUAAUAGAUGAGCCUAGGCCGGAUUAGCUAGUUGGUAGGGUAAAGGCCUACCAAGGCGACGAUCUGUAGCUGGUCUGAGAGGAUGGCCAGCCACACUGGAACUGAGACACGGUCCAGACUCCUACGGGAGGCAGCAGUGGGGAAUAUUGGACAAUGGGGGCAACCCUGAUCCAGCCAUGCCGCGUGUGUGAAGAA
rnacentral:rRNA from 1 species